CGGUUUGAUCUGUAACGGUGCCAUCAAGCCAUUUUGGUUUUCCUCGGAACCUCAUUGUGGUCCACGAGAUCCAAUAGCAUUGUGGUCCGUCCACGGUUUGUCGGGGUCUUUUUUGUUUGGUUGUUAGCUGGUUCUGUGUUUGUGAAACCGUCCACGAUGAACCAUGGUUAUCUGAACUUGUCUAAAAAAGCCCAGUGAGGUGCAGCGGGUCAAGAAAACAUGAUACAGAUAAUGCUUCAUUUUGCAAUCAAAGUUUUUUAAAAUCAACAUUUAAUAUUAACAUAGGUAAGCUACAAAUUACACUAAAGCGAAAAGACAUUUCGUACUGAUUUACACAACCAUGCUGCGCAAAACAAUUUGCUUUCAUAUGCCCUGCCUUCUGAUCAAAGUCCACCGUAAAUAAGUCGACAGGUUUUGUUGACAAUAAU